UAGUCUCUUUUCAGAUAUGUAAAUUUCAAUUUGAUGACGUGUCAUUUUUCAAAUAAUAUCAUUUAAUUUAUUUUGGAUGAGUCACAAUUCAACUAUAAUUAAAAAAUAGAAAAAUAUAAAAUAAAAAUAAUAAAUUAUUAAAAAUAUAAACAUAAAAUAUUUAAUUAAAAUUGAAUCAAAAUGCAUCUUCUUCCUAAAAUUUAUACGAACCCCAAAAAAAGGAAAACAAAAUCAUGAAAAUACACUUAUAGGUAAAGGAGCUCUGAAGAAAACCGUUGCUAUCCGUGAAAAGACUUGUAGUAAAAUGGGCCAUGAGAAAAACAAGCUCUAUUGUUAAACGCUAAAAAAACUAAUAUAUGAAAACAAAUAAUGCUUUAUUUAGAUAUGAAUUUGAGAUCGCUCUAAAUUUCUUUUAUUGGAAUCAUAAUAUUGCACAAAGAAACCAGAAGAAAAAAACAUGUAUUUGAAUUUCGCAACCAUUUAAAAAAAAAACAAAUGAAAAAAAACCAUCUGUUGUUUCAUCAAUCAAUCUCUUCC
rnacentral:lncRNA from 1 species